rnacentral:rRNA from 2 species
UUAAGCGACUAAGCGUACACGGUGGAUGCCCUGGCAGUCAGAGGCGAUGAAGGACGUGCUAAUCUGCGAUAAGCGUCGGUGAGGUGAUAUGAACCGUUAUAACCGGCGAUUUCCGAAUGGGGAAACCCAGUGUGUUUCGACACACUAUCAUUAACUGAAUCCAUAGGUUAAUGAGGCGAACCGGGGGAACUGAAACAUCUAAGUACCCCGAGGAAAAGAAAUCAACCGAGAUUCCCCCAGUAGCGGCGAGCGAACGGGGAGGAGCCCAGAGCCUGAAUCAGUGUGUGUGUUAGUGGAAGCGUCUGGAAAGGCGCGCGAUACAGGGUGACAGCCCCGUACACAAAAAUGCACAUACUGUGAGCUCGAUGAGUAGGGCGGGACACGUGGUAUCCUGUCUGAAUAUGGGGGGACCAUCCUCCAAGGCUAAAUACUCCUGACUGACCGAUAGUGAACCAGUACCGUGAGGGAAAGGCGAAAAGAACCCCGGCGAGGGGAGUGAAAAAGAACCUGAAACCGUGUACGUACAAGCAGUGGGAGCCUCUUAAUGGGGUGACUGCGUACCUUUUGUAUAAUGGGUCAGCGACUUAUAUUCUGUAGCAAGGUUAACCGAAUAGGGGAGCCGAAGGGAAACCGAGUCUUAACUGGGCGUUAAGUUGCAGGGUAUAGACCCGAAACCCGGUGAUCUAGCCAUGGGCAGGUUGAAGGUUGGGUAACACUAACUGGAGGACCGAACCGACUAAUGUUGAAAAAUUAGCGGAUGACUUGUGGCUGGGGGUGAAAGGCCAAUCAAACCGGGAGAUAGCUGGUUCUCCCCGAAAGCUAUUUAGGUAGCGCCUCGUGAAUUCAUCUCCGGGGGUAGAGCACUGUUUCGGCAAGGGGGUCAUCCCGACUUACCAACCCGAUGCAAACUGCGAAUACCGGAGAAUGUUAUCACGGGAGACACACGGCGGGUGCUAACGUCCGUCGUGAAGAGGGAAACAACCCAGACCGCCAGCUAAGGUCCCAAAGUCAUGGUUAAGUGGGAAACGAUGUGGGAAGGCCCAGACAGCCAGGAUGUUGGCUUAGAAGCAGCCAUCAUUUAAAGAAAGCGUAAUAGCUCACUGGUCGAGUCGGCCUGCGCGGAAGAUGUAACGGGGCUAAACCAUGCACCGAAGCUGCGGCAGCGACACUAUGUGUUGUUGGGUAGGGGAGCGUUCUGUAAGCCUGUGAAGGUGUACUGUGAGGGUUGCUGGAGGUAUCAGAAGUGCGAAUGCUGACAUAAGUAACGAUAAAGCGGGUGAAAAGCCCGCUCGCCGGAAGACCAAGGGUUCCUGUCCAACGUUAAUCGGGGCAGGGUGAGUCGACCCCUAAGGCGAGGCCGAAAGGCGUAGUCGAUGGGAAACAGGUUAAUAUUCCUGUACUUGGUGUUACUGCGAAGGGGGGACGGAGAAGGCUAUGUUGGCCGGGCGACGGUUGUCCCGGUUUAAGCGUGUAGGCUGGUUUUCCAGGCAAAUCCGGAAAAUCAAGGCUGAGGCGUGAUGACGAGGCACUACGGUGCUGAAGCGACAAAUGCCCUGCUUCCAGGAAAAGCCUCUAAGCAUCAGGUAACAUCAAAUCGUACCCCAAACCGACACAGGUGGUCAGGUAGAGAAUACCAAGGCGCUUGAGAGAACUCGGGUGAAGGAACUAGGCAAAAUGGUGCCGUAACUUCGGGAGAAGGCACGCUGAUAUGUAGGUGAAGCGACUUGCUCGUGGAGCUGAAAUCAGUCGAAGAUACCAGCUGGCUGCAACUGUUUAUUAAAAACACAGCACUGUGCAAACACGAAAGUGGACGUAUACGGUGUGACGCCUGCCCGGUGCCGGAAGGUUAAUUGAUGGGGUUAGCGGUAACGCGAAGCUCUUGAUCGAAGCCCCGGUAAACGGCGGCCGUAACUAUAACGGUCCUAAGGUAGCGAAAUUCCUUGUCGGGUAAGUUCCGACCUGCACGAAUGGCGUAAUGAUGGCCAGGCUGUCUCCACCCGAGACUCAGUGAAAUUGAACUCGCUGUGAAGAUGCAGUGUACCCGCGGCAAGACGGAAAGACCCCGUGAACCUUUACUAUAGCUUGACACUGAACAUUGAGCCUUGAUGUGUAGGAUAGGUGGGAGGCUUUGAAGUGUGGACGCCAGUCUGCAUGGAGCCGACCUUGAAAUACCACCCUUUAAUGUUUGAUGUUCUAACGUGGGCCCCUUACCGGGGUUGCGGACAGUGUCUGGUGGGUAGUUUGACUGGGGCGGUCUCCUCCUAAAGAGUAACGGAGGAGCACGAAGGUUGGCUAAUCCUGGUCGGACAUCAGGAGGUUAGUGCAAUGGCAUAAGCCAGCUUGACUGCGAGCGUGACGGCGCGAGCAGGUGCGAAAGCAGGUCAUAGUGAUCCGGUGGUUCUGAAUGGAAGGGCCAUCGCUCAACGGAUAAAAGGUACUCCGGGGAUAACAGGCUGAUACCGCCCAAGAGUUCAUAUCGACGGCGGUGUUUGGCACCUCGAUGUCGGCUCAUCACAUCCUGGGGCUGAAGUAGGUCCCAAGGGUAUGGCUGUUCGCCAUUUAAAGUGGUACGCGAGCUGGGUUUAGAACGUCGUGAGACAGUUCGGUCCCUAUCUGCCGUGGGCGCUGGAGAACUGAGGGGGGCUGCUCCUAGUACGAGAGGACCGGAGUGGACGCAUCACUGGUGUUCGGGUUGUCAUGCCAAUGGCACUGCCCGGUAGCUAAAUGCGGAAGAGAUAAGUGCUGAAAGCAUCUAAGCACGAAACUUGCCCCGAGAUGAGUUCUCCCUGACUCCUUGAGAGUCCUGAAGGAACGUUGAAGACGACGACGUUGAUAGGCCGGGUGUGUAAGCGCAGCGAUGCGUUGAGCUAACCGGUACUAAUGAACCGUGAGGCUUAACCUU